UGAUGAUAGAGCAUAGCCAGACUAUAUGCUUUUGUAGGGAUAACUUUAUUUUGGCCUUGUUAUUUUGAAAAUUCAUGAUUACUUUGCUAGUUUGCUUGAAUUAUUAUUGUUUCCACGUCAAUAGCAAACUAUUGUUUUGAAUCUAAUGGAUCUGAACAUUCACGUCACAUAAGAGGAAUUACAAAGGACACCUACGCUAGGUAGCAUGAAAGCAUCAAAAAUUCAUUCUUAUCACUUCCCUACUCGAGGACGAGCAGGAGUUAAGCUUGGGGAUGCUUGAUACGUCUCAAACGUAUCUAUAAUUUUUGAUGGUUUCACGCUGUUAUCUUGUCUUCUUUG
rnacentral:lncRNA from 1 species